AGGAAUAUUGGUCAAUAGCCUAACGGCUGAACCAGCAACUUGGAGGAAUGAAAAGCAAUAGCUGAUUGCAUUAAAUUUAAAAUUAGAGUUUUUUUAAUUUUUAAUGUAGUUACUACUUUGUAGUUUAAAUUUCUAGGUAGAAUUAUGAUGAUGACAUUAUCUAUCUAUAGGUCUUGACCAAAUUACGUGCCAGCAGUCGCGGUAAUACGUAGAAGACAAGUGUUAUUCAUCUUUAUUAGGUUUAAAGAGUACCAAGACGGUUAAUAAAGCCCAAAAUACAUGAGCACAGGGGACACAUUAACUAGAGUUAUAUGAAAGGAAGCAUUAAGGUACUGUUGAGUGUAGAGAUAAAAUUCAGUCAUACCAGAUGAAAGGCACAGAUUUAUGCGAAGGCAUCUUCCUAUGUAAUAACUGACGUUGUAGGACGAAGGCUUUUGAAGUGAAGAGGAUUAGAUACCCUUGUAAUUUAAGCAGAAAAUGAUGAAUGUCAUAGGUUUAAUAUAUCCACCCCCCAAAAAAAAAAGGGGGUGGAUGUUUUAUUGGGUCUAUAAAUGAAAGUGUAAGCAUUCCACCUCAAGAGUAAUUUGGCAACAUUGGAACUGAAAUCAUUAGACCGUUUCUGAAACCAGUAGUGAAGUAUGUUGUUUAAUUAGAUGA
rnacentral:rRNA from 1 species